AGGUGAAAUCCUGCAGCUCAACUGUAGAAUUGCCUUUGUAUACUGAAAGAUUGAGUUAUUGUGAGGUGGUUAGAAUGUGUGGUGUAGCGGUGAAAUAGCAUAGAUAUCACACAGAAUACCAAUUGCGAAGGCAGAUCACUAACAAUAUACUGACGCUCAGGGACGAAAGCGUGGGUAGCGAACAGGAUUAGAUACCCUGGUAGUCCACGCCGUAAACGAUGGAUACUAGCUGUAUGUCUACUUCAGGUAGAUGUGUGGCUAAGCGAAAGUGAUAAGUAUCCCACCUGGGGAGUACGAUCGCAAGAUUGAAACUCAAAGGAAUUGACGGGGGCCCGCACAAGCGGUGGAGUAUGUGGUUUAAUUCGAUGCAACGCGAAGAACCUUACCUGGUCUUGACAUGUCUGGAAUCCUGCAGAGAUGCGGGAGUGCCUUCGGGAAUCAGAACACAGGUGCUGCAUGGCU
rnacentral:rRNA from 1 species